rfam:Ciona savignyi cont_16055, whole genome shotgun sequence.
GACUCCGUGGCGCAACGGUAGCGCGUCCGACUCCAGAUCGGAAGGUGCGUGUUCAAACAUGUCGGCGUCA